CGCAUAAUCUCUACGGAGAAAAGCAGGGGAUCGCAAGACCUUGCGCUCUUGGAGCGGCCGAUGUCUGAUUAGCUAGUUGGUGAGGUAAAGGCUUACCAAGGCGACGAUCAGUAGCUGGUCUGAGAGGACGACCAGCCACACUGGGACUGAGACACGGCCCAGACUCCUACGGGAAGCAGCAGUGGGGAAUUUUGGACAAUGGGGGAAACCCUGAUCCAGCCAUGCCGCGUGAGUGAAGAAGGCCUUCGGGUUGUAAAGCUCUUUCAGCCGGAACGAAACGGUCACGGCUAAUACCUGUGACUACUGACGGUACCGGAAGAAGAAG
rnacentral:rRNA from 1 species